rnacentral:misc_RNA from 1 species
AGGAGCCGCACGAGUCGAGAGGCGCACGUCCGGCUCUGCGAGGGGCUUGGGGCAACUCUCCCGGUCCACUCACU